UGUUCUGUUCUCUUGCUCCCUCAGUAGCCUGUGAUGGCAGUCACCACCUGCUCUGCUUCCAGUUUUUUUUCCCUUAGUAAAAUUAGAAGUUGGACAUGCUUAUCCUUGUGGGUUUCUUCCAGCGCAGGAUAUUCUGUAGUUCUGUGAUCCUGGUACAAAGGAGAGAAGAGUAAAGAGAGUUGUUAACCUACUGGUUAUCUGGAAACCAUGCCACCUUAAGUAUUUUUAAUCCUUUUUUGAUUCUGAAUUCCUGAGCAAACCCAAAAUAUUAAAAAA